rnacentral:rRNA from 1 species
AUUGAACGCUGGCGGCAUGCCUUACACAUGCAAGUCGAACGGCAGCGGACCUUCGGGUGCCGGCGAGUGGCGAACGGGUGAGUAAUAUAUCGGAACGUACCUUUCAGUGGGGGAUAACGUAGCGAAAGUUACGCUAAUACCGCAUAUUCUGUGAGCAGGAAAGCAGGGGAUCGCAAGACCUUGCGCUGAUUGAGCGGCCGAUAUCAGAUUAGCUAGUUGGUGAGGUAAAGGCUCACCAAGGCGACGAUCUGUAGCGGGUCUGAGAGGAUGAUCCGCCACACUGGAACUGAGAUACGGUCCAGACUCCUACGGGAGGCAGCAGCGGGGAAUUUUGGACAAUGGGCGCAAGCCUGAUCCAGCCAUGCCGCGUGAGUGAAGAAGGCCUGGUUGUAAGCUCUUUCGGCCGGAGGAAAUCGCACAGGUUAAUACCCUGUGUGGAUGACGGUACCGGAAUAAGAAGACACCGGCUUAAC